UACAGCCAUAUCAUAUUGAAACACUGGUUCCUGUAUGAUCACCAAUUAAGCAACAUCAAGUCUGGUCAGUACCUGGAUGGGUGACCACUUGGGAAUACCAGUUGCUGUAAG